GGAUCCAAUCCUCCUCCCUCUCCCCCAACCACCCACCGCGACCGCUCCGCCGCUCCAGUCUCCCAAUCAGCGCCGCUCCGCCGCUCCAGUCUCCCAAUCAGCGCCGCUCCAUCUCCCCACCCACCGCCGUGGUGCCGCCGCUCCAGUCUCCCAAUCAGCGCUGCUCCCCUCACUUCCCUCCCUAGGUCGCAAAUGGAGUCGAGCAGGUCAGCGCCGCGGCCAGACUCGCCACAGAUAAGCACCGUCGUCGAGCUGGAGCUGGGCCGCGGCGGAGGCCGGCUUCUUCUGCACAAUCUAUGCACGGAGAGGAGGCCACUGCUUCCUCCGGCGUGUGCUUCUUCUCGGGACGACAUGGAGCUCCUCAAGGUGACAGCCGUGUGGUGCACACGCGGAUUCUUCCUCAACUCUAGCGCCUUCCACCCUGCCCCUUUGCUGACCAGGCCAAUUGAUUCUUCAUGGAGAUGCAGGUCGAGCAGCAGAUGUCUCCGCCUCCGUUCAUG
rnacentral:rRNA from 1 species